CAGCAGCCGCGGGAAUACAGAGGGUGCGAGCGUUAAUCGGAUUUACUGGGCGUAAAGCGUGCGUAGGCGGCUAAUUGAGUCGGAUGUGAAAUCCCCGAGCUUAAAUUGGGAAUUGCAUUCGAUACUGGUUAGCUAGAGUGUGGGAGAGGAUGGUAGAAUUCCAGGUGUAGCGGUGAAAUGCGUAGAGAUCUGGAGGAAUACCGAUGGCGAAGGCAGCCAUCUGGCCUAAUACUGACGCUGAGGUACGAAAGCAUGGGGAGCAAACAGGAUUAGAUACCCCCGUAGUCCCUGUCUCUUAUAC
rnacentral:rRNA from 1 species